GGGGUCGGAACUUCGGUUCCGGCUUACGUGGCGCACGGGUGAGUAACACGUGGGAAUCUGCCCAUCUAUGGGGAAUAACUGCGGGAAACUGCAGCUAAUACCGCAUACGCCCUUCGGGGGAAAGGCUUCGGCCGUAGAUGGAUGAGCCCGCGUCCGAUUAGCUAGUUGGUGGGGUAAUGGCCUACCAAGGCGACGAUCGGUAGCUGGUCUGAGAGGAUGAUCAGCCACACUGGGACUGAGACACGGCCCAGACUCCUACGGGAGGCAGCAGUGGGGAAUAUUGGACAAUGGGCGAAAGCCUGAUCCAGCAAUGCCGCGUGAGUGAUGAAGGUCUUCGGAUUGUAAAGCUCUUUCGACGGGGAAGAUAAUGACGGUACCCGUAGAAGAAGCCCCGGCUAACUUCGUGCCAGCAGCCGCGGUAAUACGAAGGGGGCUAGCGUUGUUCGGAUUUACUGGGCGUAAAGCGUGCGUAGGCGGCUUAUCAAGUCAGAAGUGAAAGCCCGGGGCUCAACUCCGGAAUGGCUUUUGAGACUGGUAGGCUGGAGUUCGGGAGAGGGUAGUGGAAUUCCCAGUGUAGAGGUGAAAUUCGUAGAUAUUGGGAAGAACACCGGUGGC
rnacentral:rRNA from 1 species